rnacentral:rRNA from 1 species
AUUGAACGCUGGCGGCAGGCCUAACACAUGCAAGUCGAGCGGAUGAAGGGAGCUUGCUCCUGGAUUCAGCGGCGGACGGGUGAGUAAUGCCUAGGAAUCUGCCUGGUAGUGGGGGAUAACGUCCGGAAACGGGCGCUAAUACCGCAUACGUCCUGAGGGAGAAAGUGGGGGAUCUUCGGACCUCACGCUAUCAGAUGAGCCUAGGUCGGAUUAGCUAGUUGGUGGGGUAAAGGCCUACCAAGGCGACGAUCCGUAACUGAUCUGAGAGGAUGAUCAGUCACACUGGAACUGAGACACGGUCCAGACUCCUACGGGAAGCAGCAGUGGGGAAUAUUGGACAAUGGGCGAAAGCCUGAUCCAGCCAUGCCGCGUGUGUGAAGAAGGUCUUCGGAUUGUAAAGCACUGUAAGUUGGGAGGAAGGGCAGUAAGUGAAUACCUUGCUGUUUUGACGUUACCAACAGAAUAAGCACCGGCUAACUUCGUG